rnacentral:rRNA from 1 species
CAGCAGCCGCGGUAAUACCAGCUCUCCGAGUGGUAGGGACGAUUAUUGGGCUUAAAGCGUCCGUAGCCGGCCGGGCAAGUCUUCCGUUAAAUCCAACGAUUCAAUCGUUGGACUGCGGGAGAUACUGUUGGGCUAGGAGGCGGGAGAGGCCGACGGUAUUCUCGGGGUAGGGGUAAAAUCCUAUAAUCCCGGGAAGACCACCAGUGGCGAAGGCGGUCGGCUAGAACGCGCUCGACGGUGAGGGACGAAAGCUGGGGGAGCGAACCGGAUUAGAUACCCGGGUAGUCCCAGCUGUAAACGAUGCGGGCUAGGUGUUGGAGCGGCUACGGGCCGCUUCAGUGCCGCAGGGAAACCAUUAAGCCCGCCGCCUGGGGAGUACGGCCGCAAGGCUGAAACUUAAAGGAAUUGGCGGGGGAGCACCACAAGGGGUGAAGCUUGCGGUUUAAUUGGAGUCAACGCCGGAAAACUUACCGGGGGCGACAGCAGGAUGAAGGCCAGAUUGAAGGUCUUGCUGGACGAGCUGAGAGGAGGUGCAUGGCCGUCGCCAGUUCGUGCCGUGAGGUGUCCUGUUAAGUCAGGCAACGAUCGAGACCCACGCCCCCUGUUGCCACCGAGGAGGUUUCUCCAAGGGGCACUCUGGGGGGACUGCCGUCGAUAAGGCGGAGGAAGGAGUGGGCCACGGCAGGUCAGUAUGCCCCGAAUCCCCCGGGCCACACGCGAGCUGCAAUGGCUGGGACAGUGGGUUCCGACCUCGAAAGGGGGAGGUAAUCCCUAAACCCAGCCGUAGUUGGGAUCGAGGGCUGAAACUCGCCCUCGUGAACAUGGAAUCCCUAGUAAUCGCGCGUCAUCAUCGCGCGGUGAAUACGUCCCCGCUCCUUGCACACACCGCCCGU